CCAUGGCGCAUUGCCGAGCAGCGACUGAAGACAGAACCCGGAAUCUGUGGUUGGCUGGAAAGGCAGUGGCCUUAGGCAGAACAGUUAAACAAAUAAUGUAAUUCAGAUUGAAAGCUGCACCCUUCCAUUAUGCCUUUCAAGAGUUCUAUCCAUUUGAGAGAAGAUAGAUUUAGUAAUUCCUCACUCUCCUUCUAGCCUUUCAUAAGCCUAGUUAGUUUUCUCUUCUGGCUGCCCCUUCUCCUCAAGCUGGAGUCCAGCCAGCUGUGGAGACUUAGAUGUUUUGCCUCUCAUCCUUGUGCCAGGAGGCCUUUGUUUGGGCAUAAGCACACAGGGUAGAAAGUGUCUCCUAGGGCAGUAUUCCUGAGUCACUUGUGGGAGAACAAAGCAUUGUUUUCACUGAUUUUAUUUAAUUAAGUUUUUAGAGAUGAGAGUCUCACGGAAGUAGCUUUUUAAUUUUGUAUUUGUCAGGGAAACAUUGGAAAACCAAAGACAUCACUUUGAGUCUGGGUUUCCCCAAAGUGCUGUUUCACCCUGUUCCUCUUACCUCCUAACUACACUGGUUUCUCUUAAGGUUUCUAGGGUGUUUCAUUUUUGUGGUAAUUCCACUUAACACUUGAAUAUGGUUCUC
rnacentral:lncRNA from 1 species